UACGUAGGGUGCAAGCGUUGUUCGGAAUCAUUGGGCGUAAAGCGCGUGUAGGCGGUUUGUUAAGUCGAUUGUGAAAUCCCUGGGCUCAACCGAGGAAGUGCAGUCGAAACUAACAAGCUAGAGGACGGCAGAGGAUGGUGGAAUUCCAAGUGUAGAGGUGAAAUUCGUAGAUAUUUGGAGGAAUACCGGUGGCGAAGGCGGCCAAUCUGGACCGGUCCUGACGCGUGAGACGGCGAAAGCGUGGGGAGCAAACAGG
rnacentral:rRNA from 1 species